rnacentral:lncRNA from 1 species
AUACAAAUCUGUCUUUUACUUGCUUGUUUAAUUGACAUUUGCCUGCAUUCCUGCAUUUGUUAGAUCCAUUUUAACAAACCGAGUAGAAAUAAAGGACUUCAGAAUAUCUGGGGUGCUGCAGCUGAAACCAGCUUCUGAACUGAAGCAAAUCUGUGUCUUUUUAGCGAAAUGAAUAGACCCCUUCAGCCCGAACCAGCUGGGAACCAACCCCUUUUGGGCUGUUUUCUGGAAAUACUUUAAUAGAAUUCAUUCCCACAGUAAAUACAAACGUCAUUGUCCUGAGCUGCUGCUUUUGGGACAAGACUUACAUACGCUGUCUUUGAAUUUAAAACUCUCUGGUCAUUUUACUGUCCGCAUUUCUGACUGACACAAUAUGUUGGUUUCACACACACACACACAGAGCAAAUUGCUAUCUAUAUUUUGCCAGUUUUCUCCCCUUAUACUAUCUAUAUUUUGCCAGUUUUCUCCCCUUAUUUUUUUCCGGGGGCGGGGUGGGGAGGAGGUAGGGUGGUAUAAUUUCCCCCUCCUUUCCUUGGCUGUCAAAUUAGGUCCCGGCAGUCCGAGGAGAGCUGGUGCUGUCCCCAGGCGGUGCUCAGCCCCGGGGGAUGCUGCGGGGGGGGGAUGGCAUUCCUCGCGUUUCCCGAGGGAGCCAGGCAGCCCGGGGCAGCCCGUGCCCGUCCCGGGGGAUGCCCGAGGCACCACAGGUCUCUCCAGCACCGCACUCCCUGCCCAGCGCUGCUCCGGUGCCCCCUCCCGCCUUUCCCUGCCCGGCGAGGCGAAGGAAGGGGUGAAGUUCUCCGUGUCCCUCUGCCACGGGGGCAGCCGCUCCGUGAGGAAGCCCCGGGUGGCCCCCGCACAGCGCUUGCAAACUGCUGGGGGACAAAAUCCAUAUUGCUUAAACCAUAGUCAUAGCAGAAAGAAGACCAUGAGCAUCAAGGAAGCAGAGAGUCAGCAAAUGUGGAGGACCGUUCAGUCCCAUAUCUGUCUGGAUAUUCCCAAGUCACAGAAAAGGACUGUAGCAAAUCUUACUCAUUCUUCAAGAGAGAGCAUGUUCUCAGUCAUCCUGCCUCACCCUGCAAGCACUUCAUAGACUACAAACACUACUACAGCGAGCUUAUAUGAACCUGAAGAUGUUAGUGGGAUGAGACUGAUACUCAUCAGACAGAAGCAGGAAACGAAACAUAUAGAUGGUGAGGAAGCUGGGACCACAGACUGACUGACCCAUCCUCUGCUGUGUGUUUGACACCUGUGGUGAUUUUAAAGUGAGGAGUGUGCUCUGUUUGUCCCUGUGGUUUCAGCCUCCUCAGUGCGGGCUGCUGCAUCGCCAGGAAUGUGGAUGCUUUCUGCUGCCCGGGAUCCUGUUUUGUUACCGCUUCCUCCUUUGGCCUCCUGCCAGAAAAUCACCUUGGAAACCCAGGCACCCGUUUCCAUGGUCACUUGGAGGAGCAUACGUUUCCUUCCAUGGCGUUGGGGUAUUCGGAGGAGGAAACCCGCAAGCUUUUUUUGCCAGAGUAAGUUUGGUGGGAUUGGACUCAAAGAGCUGCAUCCUGACCUUAUUUCCUUCCAUCAAAUCCCCAGCGAAACCACCGGAGCUGCAGAGCGUAAACAAGGGCAGAAUGUGGCUUUACAUGAAUGCAUUCACACCGAGCUGUGAAAUAACGACUUACAAACAACCUGCCUCUGACUUAUUCCCACCCCAGAGAAACUCAAGAGUGAGAUGAACAGGAAUAAAAGGGAACUUUGUUCUCCCCCA